rnacentral:rRNA from 1 species
AACGAACGCUGGCGGCAGGCCUAACACAUGCAAGUCGAGCGAAGCCUUCGGGCUUAGCGGCGGACGGGUGAGUAACGCGUGGGAACGUGCCCUUUGCUACGGAAUAGCCCCGGGAAACUGGGAGUAAUACCGUAUGUGCCCUUCGGGGGAAAGAUUUAUCGGCAAAGGAUCGGCCCGCGUUGGAUUAGGUAGUUGGUGGGGUAAUGGCCUACCAAGCCGACGAUCCAUAGCUGGUUUGAGAGGAUGAUCAGCCACACUGGGACUGAGACACGGCCCAGACUCCUACGGGAGGCAGCAGUGGGGAAUCUUAGACAAUGGGGGAAACCCUGAUCUAGCCAUGCCGCGUGAGCGAUGAAGGCCUUAGGGUUGUAAAGCACUUUCAGUGGGGAAGAUAAUGACGGUACCCACAGAAGAAGCCCCGGCUAACUCCGUGCCAGCCGCCGCCGUAACAC